UUUCCAACAAACUGUGUCUGGGAAUUAAGAGGGAGGAGGAGCUGGACCUCCCGCCAACAUUUUGGUGCCGUGACUCGGAUACACUUCGCUGAAUGGGAAUUUACUUGACCAGAGUUAUCUCCAUUUGCUUUCUCAAAGUCUCAGGAUGGAACUAAGCACAACGGUCAAAGCUGGCCCCAGAUCCAGAAUCUGAAGUUGUUCAGGUCAUGUCCAAGGGACUCGGAGAGGGUGUAUUUUCAGUGAAUGGAAUCACACUGCAGACAUUUUCUCUACUUGGAUUUUGGCAUAAAG